GCUAAGAAUCUUCCGCAAUGGGGGAAACCCUGACGGAGCGACGCCGCGUGGACGAAGAAGGCCGCAAGGUUGUAAAGUCCUUUUGCAGACGAAGAAUAAGGCUCGGAGUGGAACGCCGAACUGAUGACGUUAGUCUGCGAAUAAGCCCCGGCCAAUUACGUGCCAGCAGCCGCGGUAACACGUAUGGGGCAAGCGUUGUUCGGAAUCACUGGGCGUAAAGGGCGUGUAGGCGGUUCGAAAAGCCCGGCGUGAAAGGUGUCGGCCCAACCGACAGACUGCGCUGGGAACUGCCGGACUGGAGUCAUGGAGGGGGAGCUGGAAUUCCAGGUGUAGGGGUGAAAUCUGUAGAGAUCUGGAAGAACACCGGUGGCGAAGGCGAGCUUCUGGCCAAUGACUGACGCUGAGGCGCGAAAGCGUGGGGAGCAAACAGGAUUAGAAACCCCAGUAGUCC
rnacentral:rRNA from 1 species